UUCGGGUGAAGAAGGACGCACUGAGCUCCAAACUUCCAAGCCGACCUGCCACUACAGCUUCUGCCUCUACACAGGCCGCCUCCACAUCCCCAACAGCCUUCAACCUCCUUGCAGGCUGCUGUCAAUGUAGCACCCGCCUUCUCUCCACGAUCAUCCGUAGUGCCUGCAUCCUCCCUACGCGGCCUGUUGUCAAGGAGAGACCAGUCUCCCCAGGCUAUCUCCAAAAAUGUAAAGAGCCUCUUCACAAAACCAAGGUUUCAGCCAUCUAUUCCUGCCCUGCCACGCGCUGGAUCCAUUAAAACGGAACCAACUGACAGCGAGCUCAUGCAGGCUGCCGCAGAAGUUGACCCCGACACAUCGCGUAAGUGUUUUUAUUUUAUGCACACAGCCCCCCCCUCUCUCUCUCUCUCUCUCUCUCUCUCUCUCUCUCUCUCUCUCUCUCUCUCUCUCUCUCUC
ensembl:lncRNA